rnacentral:rRNA from 1 species
GAUGAACGCUGGCGGCGUGCCUAAUACAUGCAAGUCGAGCGAACAGACGAGGAGCUUGCUCCUCUGACGUUAGCGGCGGACGGGUGAGUAACACGUGGAUAACCUACCUAUAAGACUGGGAUAACUUCGGGAAACCGGAGCUAAUACCGGAUAAUAUAUUGAACCGCAUGGUUCAAUAGUGAAAGACGGUUUUGCUGUCACUUAUAGAUGGAUCCGCGCCGCAUUAGCUAGUUGGUAAGGUAACGGCUUACCAAGGCGACGAUGCGUAGCCGACCUGAGAGGGUGAUCGGCCACACUGGAACUGAGACACGGUCCAGACUCCUACGGGAGGCAGCAGUAGGGAAUAUUACGCAAUGGGCGAAAGCCUGACGGAGCAACGCCGCGUGAGUGAUGAAGGUCUUCGGAUCGUAAAACUCUGUUAUUAGGGAAGAACAAAUGUGUAAGAAACUAUGCACGUCUUGACGGUACCUAAUCAGAAAGCCACGGCUAACUACGUG